UCCCACUCAGGACCACACCUGAAGAGUUUCCAGUACUCUACCAGUCUCGGCUAUGGGAGGGAGAGUCAAGCAGAGGCAUACCCACUCCAUUCCUAGCUUGAGCAGUAGCUAGCGAGUGGAAGAAAAUCUGCUACAAGU
rnacentral:snoRNA from 2 species